rnacentral:rRNA from 1 species
GUCUAAUGUGAAAUCUCCGAGCCUAACUCGGAAACUGCAUCGGAUACUAUCCGGCUAGAGGAAUGGAGGGGAGACUGGAAUACUUGGUGUAGCAGUGAAAUGCGUAGAUAUCAAGUGGAACACCAGUGGCGAAGGCGAGUCUCUGGACAUUUCCUGACGCUGAGGCACGAAAGCUAGGGGAGCAAACAGG